rnacentral:rRNA from 1 species
CCAGACUCCUACGGGAGGCAGCAGUGGGGAAUAUUGGACAAUGGGGGGAACCCUGAUCCAGCGACGCCGCGUGAGUGAAGAAGUAUUUCGGUAUGUAAAGCUCUAUCAGCAGGGAAGAAAGAAAUGACGGUACCUGACUAAGAAGCCCCGGCUAACUACGUGCCAGCAGCCGCGGUAAUACGUAGGGGGCGAGCGUUAUCCGGAUUCACUGGGUGUAAAGGGAGCGUAGACGGCCAUGCAAGCCAGGGGUGAAAGCCCGGGGCCCAACCCCGGGACUGCUUUUGAAACUGUAUGACUGGAGUGCAGGAGAGGUAAGCGGAAUUCCUAGUGUAGCGGUGAAAUGCGUAGAUAUUAGGAGGAACACCAGUGGCGAAGGCGGCUUACUGGACUGUAACUGACGUUGAGGCUCGAAAGCGUGGGGAGCAAACAGGAUUAGAUACCCGGGUA